rnacentral:rRNA from 1 species
UACGGGGGGGGUAAGCGUUGUUCGGAAUUACUGGGCGUAAAGGGCUCGUAGGCGGCCAACUAAGUCAUACGUGAAAUCCCUCAGCUUAACUGGGGAACUGCGUGUGAUACUGGAUGGCUUGGAUUUGGGAGAGGGAUGCGGAAUUCCAGGCGUAGCGGUGAAAUGCGUAGAUAUCUGGAGGAACACCGGUGGCGAAGGCGGCGAUCCUGGACCAAUAUUGACGCUGAGGAGCGAAAGCCAGGGGAGCAAACGGG